AUUGUUCAUCACUUCAAGUUGUGAAGGAUUUCUCAGGAUAUCAUCAUGAAAACUUUAAUGAUUGCCACUGUGGCUCUGCUAUCUCUCAUGGCCCUGGCCUCUUCUGCUCCUCAUCGCUCUUAUUAUCAGUUGCGGAGGCUCGUCAGCAACGCGGUAAUUAUUACUAUAUAAGACACAGAUGCAGCAGAACGAUGGCCCAAGCAACUACGUACAUGUAUUACUAUUAGGGACAAAUGCAGCAGAACGAUCGCCCAAGCAACUAUUACUAUAAGACACAGAUGCAGCAGGACGGUGGCCCAAGCAACUAUUACUAUAUAAGGCGCAGAUGCAGCAGGAUGGUGGCCCAAGCAACUAUUACUAUAAGGCACAGAUGCAGCAGGACGAUCGCCCAAGCAACUAUUACUAUAAGACACAGAUGCAGCAAGACGGUGGCCCAAGCAACUAUUACUAUAAGGCACAAAUGCAGCAGGAUGAUGGCCCAAGCUAUAAGACACAGGUGCAGCAGGACGAUCGCCUAUUGCAAGCACUAUUACUAUAAGGCACAGAUGCAGCAGGACGGUGGCCCAAUUAAGCUAUAAGACACAGAUACAGCAGGACGAUCGCCCAAGCACUAUUACUAUAAGGCACAGAUGCAGCAGAACGAUCGCCCAUGCAAGCAACUAUUACUAUAUAAGGCACAGAUGCAACAAGAUGAGCCAGGUAAGUACUUUCAACAACUCGACCAUGCAGAAUUCAUAAGAAUGUGACACUAUGCAUUAUGUUAAGUUUAAAUUUAUUAUAGCCCAUCACAUAAGAAUAAUUUACUACAGCUGAUUGGACACCAGCUGAGGUGCCCAUGUAAGUACACCUUCCACCAACUAAUGCAUGAGUGCUGCUAAGGCCACUGUUAGUUGCAUGCUUGUUUCAGAUCAACCUCCCUCCUCGUUUUGCUCACCUCCUCAAUUAAGUCAUUAUUGCUGAUGUCAGCCAUUAUUUGAGGUCAAAGUCCUUUUUUUUGCUGACAUUGCAUUAUUUUACCAUGUGCCAUGUGCAAUUGUGCACCAAAAAGCCAGUGCAUAAAAAAAAAAUUAAACUAUUGUUCAGACUCCGUCCUUUUGUGUAUUACUGUCAGUUAAAAAACAGGAUAUGACGUCAUCAAAUAAUGAGAUAAUAGGUAAUGAAGACCUCCCUCCCUCAUCGGGGUCGAGCUAGUAUUCUCAUCUGAAACAAGUAUGCAACUAACAGUGGCAUAAUACAUGAACGUGACACUAUUCAAAUUGCAUUUAACGCCUUCGUAGUUUCUCAACACCAACCACCUAAAUAUAGAAUAAAUUUCAGCUGCAGUAUAAUAGUAAUGUCAGAGCCUCCAAGUAGAGACUUUUCUUUUCAGUAUUAAUCAGCUCAUUUUUCCGUAUUUAAUUAAUGAUGAUUUUCAGUACAAAACAUGGAAAUGAGAUGAAAUGCUGUUUAGUGGCCUUGUAAUUGCCCCGCCCCUUCAAUAAAGGGGCGUGGCAAGCGAGACUUGGCUUUACAAAUUAUAGCUGUCUUUCAGUAUCAGACUCACUACUAGCCUCGAUCUCCCAGGCCGAUCCGUCUCUAAUUAAACGCUAGGUCGCCUCCUCGGCCUGGUAUUGAUUGUAUCUGGGCGUGUAUCUGGGCAUGUGCUGUGGUUGCUGUGGUUGCUCAGGUAUUCGCUAAAAAAGAGCGAAUACCUGAGCAAGGUGGAGCGAAUAGAAACACUAAUAGUGUAUGUAAGCAUACUUACUCCGUAAAAUCACCGUUAAAUCACAAAGAACUCCGUGUCAUAGGUCUAUUCUUUGCAAGUUUAGUUUGUCAUAGACAUAUUAUAUGUAGAUAUAGGCUUAGCUAGCUAGAGUGUGAGGAGCUGUCUUGUGCGAAGGAAGAAGGAGCAUCACUCUUGUGAAAGAACAGACCUAGGUUCUCAAGUUUCUGCUAUCAGUGGCUACUUUUGAUUGACUACACAAUUUAAUACAAGCGCUUGAUUAGACCAUUGAUUGCCAGAUACACUUGGUAGAGUCUAUCCUCAGACUCUGGCCAUCGAUCUCUUGUAUACUAUGCUCAGGGGUGUCCACAAGUGGCUGGGCCUGGGAUGUAUUGUCAAGCCUAUAGCCCAAUCCUUGGUAUCUGGAUCAAGAUAUGACAUUACGGCACUGGCAUUGGUGUUGUGUUAGCCUCCUUCACCGACCUUCAAGGAAGUGCGGCCUGGGAUCGUGGCUAGUUUUGUGUGGACCAUCACUGAGCAAAAUGGAACCUUCCCCUCCAACCCCCGUCGUACUCCUCCUAGCUGAUGGGUGUGAACUCAUUGAAAGAGGAUGCCCCAGUGCCACUCGUGUCCUUCCCAAGGGUCCGAUCUUAUAGAACUACCUGCACUAAAACUACUGACGUGGAAUGGCUCUUUCAACACUUGUGGUUGCUAUCCUGACCAGUGACGUCAGGAUUCUACUGUCUCUUGAUGCACUGUGAACACACAAUCUUUGUUAUGCCACCUGAAGGCGCAGUAAUUAUUAAGUCUUUCUGGAAGCUCUUGUUUGAGAUCUUCACUUCUAAACAUCUGCAUUUAUUAUGGACGCAGUACUGCUGUGCACAGUAUUAAUUUCUAGUGUCAUUAUAUCA